rnacentral:rRNA from 1 species
ACUGCUCAGUAACACGUGGACAACCUGCCCUUAGGUUGGGUAUAAACCCGGGAAACUGGGUAUAAUACCCGAUAGGUCUCGAUUGCUGGAAUGCAUCGAGAUUUAAAGCUCCGGCGCCUAAGGAUGGGUCUGCGGCCUAUCAGGUAGUAGUGGGUGUAGCGUACCUACUAGCCUACGACGGGUACGGGUUGUGAGAGCAAGAGCCCGGAGAUGGAUUCUGAGACACGAAUCCAGGCCCUACGGGGUGCAGCAGGCGCGAAAACUUUACAAUGCUGGCAACAGCGAUAAGGGAACCUCGAGUGCCAGGUUACAAAUCUGGCUGUCGAGAUGCCUAAAAAGCAUUUCAUAGCAAGGGCCGGGCAAGACCGGUGCCAGCCGCCGCGGUAACACCGGCGGCUCGAGUGGUAACCGUUAUUAUUGGGUCUAAAGGGUCUGUAGCCGGCCGGAUAAGUCUCUUGGGAAAUCUGGCAGCUUAACUGUCAGGCUUUCAGGAGAUACUGUCUGGCUCGAGGCCGGGAGAGGUGAGAGGUACUUCAGGGGUAGGGGUGAAAUCUUGUAAUCCUUGAAGGACCACCAGUGGCGAAGGCGUCUCACCAGAACGGACCUGACGGCAAGGGACGAAAGCUAGGGGCACGAACCGGAUUAGAUACCCGGGUAGUCCUAGCCGUAAACGAUACUCGCUAGGUGUCGGCCACGGUGUGACCGUUGUCGGUGCCGUAGGGAAGCCGUGAAGCGAGCCACCUGGGAAGUACGGCCGCAAGGCUGAAACUUAAAGGAAUUGGCGGGGGAGCAC